rnacentral:misc_RNA from 1 species
UGUCUUCCUGUUGGUUUUAAUGAUACCAAGCAAUUUGAAAUGACUGAAGGACUGCACAAACGAUCAUCUGGAAGAAGUUCUAAUAGAAGUAUUGAACCAACUAUGUCUGGUAAUUCCGUUUAUGUUGAUUCAGACAUUUCAGGUGACCUGAGGAAUAAGGUUUAUGAGGCAGCAACCAGAGAAGGUGCCACAUUUCUGGAUCGAUGGUUUGUUGGCUGCA